UACGAACCGAGCGAACGUUGUUCGGAAUCACUGGGCUUAAAGGGCGCGUAGGCGGGUGGUCAAGUCCGGGGUGAAAUCCCACAGCUCAACUGUGGAACUGCCUCGGAUACUGGGCGUCUCGAGUGUGGUAGGGGUAUGCGGAACUAUCGGUGGAGCGGUGAAAUGCGUUGAUAUCGAUAGGAACUCCGGUGGCGAAGGCGGCAUACUGGACCACUACUGACGCUGAUGCGCGAAAGCCAGGGGAGCAAACGGG
rnacentral:rRNA from 1 species